rnacentral:lncRNA from 1 species
CUAUGGAAGUUCCUGGGACCAGGGAUAGAAUCUGAGCCACAGCUGCAACCUACGCCACAGUGCUGACAAAACCACAUCCUUUAACUCACUGUGCCAGGUGGGGAUCAAACCUACACCUCUGCAGCAACCCAAGCCACUGAAGUCAGAUUCUUAACUCACUGUGCUACUUUUGCUCAGUUUUAAAUUGAGGUUUUUAUUAUUAUUAUUAUUUUGUUGUUUUAGAAGUUCUCUGUGUAUUCUGAAUAUUAAUCCCUUCUUUUGACAAGUAUUUUUUUUUCCACUCUAAGUUGCCUUUUUACUCUGUUGAUAACAACGUUUGUUACUCAAGUUUUAAAAUUUUCAUGUAGUCCAAUUUGUCUGUUUUCUCUUUUGUUGCCUGUGCCUUUGGUAUCAUAUCCAAGAAAUCUUUGCCAGAUCCAAGGUCAUGAAGAUGUUGAGCUCUCUCUUCUUCUGAGAAUUUUAUAGAUUGAGGUUUAACAUUCAAGUCUUGGAUCCAUUACAAAUAAAUUUUUUUUUUUGGUCUUUUUAGGGCCACACCCACGGCAUAUGGAAUUCCCAGACUAGGGAUUGAAUCAGAGCAUAACUGCUGGCCUACGCCACAGCCACAACGAUGCAGGAUCCAAGCUGCAUCUGCCAUCUACACCACAGUUCAGGGCAACUCUAGAUCCCCAACCCUCUGAGUGAGGCCAGGGAUCUAACCUGGGUCCUCAUGGAUACUAGUCAGGUUUGUUACCUCUGAGCCACAAUAGAGGGAGAGGGUCACAUCAACAGUGAACACAUCUACUAUGGCAAUGACUGUGUACUUCAACAUCUCCGUGACCAGAAGUAGCAGUCAUUGCACUGAUUCCCAAUAUUUGGAGGAUAGGGUCCUUUUUGCCCACCCUGGCUCCUGAAAGCUACAUGCAGGUUUGUUCCUUUUCAAGAACAUAUGCUAAUUUUCCUGGAAUGAGUAGGGGAUGAGUGGCUGAUUACUGUGCCAAAGGUGGGAAAUGGGUAGCGGUUACUGCACUGGGUGCUGAAAUGGACCAAUAUUAACCACAAUUUAUCACCCAAGCCUAUAGGAAAACACACUCUCCCCAGUACCAUUUCUGUGCCAGUGCUCAUAUAUCCAUUAUCUCAGUUAAGUCUCACAACAAGCUAGUGCAGGAGAUACUCUUUUUACUUUCAGUGUGUAGAGGAGGAAAUCAAGUGUUAUAAAAGUGUGGUCUCCUGAGUAAGAACAUUCAUCUCAUAAGUGUUGCCUGAGAUCUGAAACCAUGGAUAUCCAACUCCAGAGGUAUUAAUAUUAUUGCCUGUCUUCCCCACCCAUUCUAGAUUUGAGUUUAUCAUCUCUCCUGCAACAACCCUAUUGCCUUUGUAUGGGUUUCUAUUGAUGCCAUAUGAGAUUACCACAAAUUUAGCACCUUAUUUAUUACACACAUUUAUUACCUCACAGUUCUGUGGGUCAGAAGUUCCAGGGUGCUGGACUGACUUCUCGGCUUUGGUCUCACAAGAACAAAAUCAAGGUCUCAGGCAGACCAGAGGAUCUGGAGAAAAAUCUGUUCAUAGGCUCAGUUAGAAUAUCGGCAAAAUUCAAUUCCGAGUGGUUGAAGGAUGGAGGUCCCUAUUUUCUCCCUAGUGGUUGGCCAAGGAUUGUUCUAGAGGCCUCCAUAUUCCCUGGUUUGUGGCCCCUCAUGUUCCAAGUCAGUAGGAGCAGGUUAAGUCCUUCUCACACUUUGAAUUGCUAUAACUUUCCCUCUGCCUUAUCUCUCCUAUUUCCAGCCACAGAAAUAUCUCUGCUUUUAAGGACUAUUGUGAUUAAAUUGGACCCAUGUGGAUAAUCCAGGAUAGCCUCCUUAUUUUAAGGCCCUUAACUGUAAUGCAAUCCGCAAAGUCCCUUUUGCUAUGUUAUAUAACACGCUGCCAGAUUUCAGGUUUUAGGCCAUAGACAUCUCUGGGGACCUUCCUGUCCACCAUCCCUUGAACUUCACAUCACUCAAUUGUAUCACCCCUUUCUUUCUUUGUCAUAUCAGUAAUAUUUUCUAUUCUUCUUACAGUCACUUAAAUUUGUGGUAUUGUACUUUUUUGACAUUUUCUUCCUGUAUCAACUCUGACAUCACCCUAAGAUAUAUUUGUGGCCACUCUGACCUUCUUUUUCACUACCAAGUAUUUUGAACUCCAGUGUACUUUUCAUGGUCAUGCUUUGUUUUGUGCUUCCAAAUGGGAACCUGCAGAAAGAAGUAGAAGUUGUCACUCAGAUGCAUAUGAGGCUGAAUUUUGAUAACAAGAUUACCGGCUUUUAUUUGAUAGUUUGUGUGCGCAUAUUGGAUUAAAAUCAAAUUUAAGAAGCAUGAACAAUACCUGGUAAUAGAGGAUAUGAUUAUGCAGCAUCCAUCAAAACAUGUCAGUAAACUGAUUUUUAAAAAAUCAAGAGUAAACAAUUUCAUAGACUCAAAUGUCAGGUUUUGGUAGAAAGAAAUAUGAUUUUGGAAUGAAACCUUUUAACAGUUCUGUGGGAUGACAGGAAUUGAUUCUGGCAUUGAUGUUUGAAUUCCCUUGCUGCUUUUAAAAACAUAUUAAGCAGGAGAUCAGACUAAAUUUGGUUACAUCAAUAUGAUUUUAGAGAGAGAAUAUGAUUUACAUGCUGUAUAAAACCCAUUUUCUCCAUUAGGGAUAGAGAAAUGGGCCAUCUUCGUGAUGAAGUCAUAUAUGAUCUCAGUUAAAGAGGAGCCAUGGAGGUGCUCUUGUAUGUAAUGAAGACUUAAGAAGAUGCUAAGAUUUUCUCUGUGGGUUGAUGUUUUACUGCAUCAAUUUAUCCACUGUAGCUACCCGGGAGGCACCUAUCCCAUUGUUUCUGGACUGCCACCAAAGUGCCAGCCACAAAUUUUCAUAUUUUACAAUAGGAGAAAUGGCAUCUUGUAAAAUGAGAUUUUUAUAAAUUACACAUAAAAAUAAGCUAUUCAAGCCCUGAGAAAAGUUUUUUUUUUUAAUUGAGCUUGACUUUACUUCCUGAAUCCAAUCACACAGCUCAAACAGUUUGUAAAUUUUUCAAACAUAAAUAAUGUUUUUGUUUUUUUAAAAAAAAUCACAUUGUGGAGGUUUUUCUGAUUUAGUAGGUUUAGAGUAUUUAGAAGGUCAGGAAUCUGAAUGUUUAAUAAAUACCCCAUCCACCCCAUCUAAUUCUGUUGAUGAUCAUCACAGAUGGACCGUGCUUUGAGUAAUAAUGUUCAAGUGCUACUUUUCCCAGCUGCUUUUUCAAAUUAUGGGAGAGGGAGAAAGGAAAAAAAAAAAAAAGGAAGGGAGAGAAGGGGGAAACAAGAAGGAAGGAAAAGAACUAAAACUCUGACCUUCAAAAACAAAAACAAAGAAAGUGUGUUCCGUGUUCUGUCUCCCUACUCCCUCUUAUACCACAGACCUAAUAAUAAUACCUCCAACUAAAAGUCAAAGUUCAUUUUUCAUUAAGAAUUCAUAGCUUCUGGAAAGCUGUGAGGCUCUAAGAGCUCUUCAAUGACUCAAGUGUAAAUGCUUCUAAAAGGCUAAAGUAAGAGCCAAAGUUCAAGCCAUGUCCCCCAUAUCUCCCUGGAAUGGGCUUCUAUUCAAAUAGAUAUAAUAGCAAUUUACUUUCUCUUUAUUAUUCCCCUUUCAAAAACACCAAAAAAAAAUCAUAUAUUAUAGUCUCAGUGAAUGGUUACCCUGAUUAUUUCAAAAUGCAAAUGAUUAUAGAAAUUUGGAGCUGGGGCAAUAAUGACAAAUCCUUACUGACAGUGUAGUCAUUGAAAAAUCAUUGGAGCAAGGUACCCAUUCAAGAGUUUUAAUUUGCAAUCAAGUCAAGAGCUAUUCUAGGGAAGCAAGAAACUGUUUGAGGGACAGAAGUUCAACCCAAAAUGGGAAAGCAACCCAAUAAGGGAGCCAUGAAGAAUAUCCAAGAGAUUAACAUGUAAAGCCAAUCUAUCAAGAUUUUCAAGUUACUAAAUGAGGUCACACUGAUGAAUGUCCUAUAGGUAGUCUUUCUCAAGCAAGUGAUUUAGAUCCUUUUAAUGAAAUAUAACACUGAACACAGGAAGUAAAUAUCCAAUUGUAAGAAUAUGCUACUUGCUUUCAACUUUAACACUUAUUCAGCAAUUAUUUGAUGUAAGUGUCAUGCUAUAAGGUUGGGAAUGAGAGGUUGUAUAAUUAAUAAGACAUGGCGUGAUGCCCUCUAAGGAACUCACAAUCCAGCAGGGAUCUAACUGUGAGUAAAUAUGGAACACUCCAUUCUUCGGAUUCAAAAAGGAAAUGCGAGCAAGAAAAUAAAAGGAACAUUUUUUUAGUGCUUCCUCCCAUGCCUGGCAUUAUGCUAAGUUGUGUGUAUUUGUUAUGUAUUGUUGGUCAAAUAAGUGGCCACUUUUCCAUUAUAUCCUAGAAGCAUAUUGCUGGAAUGUAAACAAACAAUAAAAAUAACCUUCAGUUUCUUGAAGCCUUCCUCAUUUCUAAGUUCAUAGCUUGUUUUACUACAAAAUAUCACCUUAUCAGGAAAUACCUUACUGUCUAAAUAUCCAAUAGCAAAUUCAGAAUUCAAAAGAAAGAACACAGUCUGUUUGCUGGUCUGUUUCUUCACACUCAUAAUUCCCAGAGGGCUCUCUGGGGGUCUCGUUUUCUCAUGAAAAGGUGUUUUUGAAUGUAGGACCUAAAAUGAAGUCAAGGUGAAACCUGAAGCCUUAACAUAAAACCACCUUACCUCAGGAGCUAACCUCACCCCCAGGGAUAUCCUGUCUUGAGUUUUCCAACACCACACCUCUCUCCAAGCCAAAUGCCCGCACUGCAGGGACAUAGCAGAGUCUGAGACUGUACCAUAUUGCUGCGCUCCCUCUGGAUGUGAGCUUUUUGGAAAGAAACCAGCUCUUCCUGUCCUUUCUCCAAAGUACAAAACUGGGAGCACUGAGCACAGAGCAAUGCAGUCUUCUCAGGUUGCCCUUGAUACCUCCUGGAGAUAAAACGCUACCAUUUUUGAACACUUGAGGUCCUG